rnacentral:tRNA from 1 species
GCGGAUGUAGCGAAGUGGUCAAACGUGCUGGCUUCAGGAGCCAGUUGCUUAGUGCAUUCGCAGGUUCGAAUCCUGCCAUCCGCA